GUAUAAGUAUGUAUAAAGGAUUGAAUGUUGUGGGUGUUUUUUAUUUUGCACUAUUGUGUUCUUUAUUUUGUUCUUUAUAUCACCAUGCAUAUGCUGAUGAAUAAGUUGUAACUGCCACACAUCCAUCAGCUGGUUGGAAACCCCACCGCAUGAGUGGAAAUCUAUAAGUUUUUGUUGUGUAUUCUGCCUGCCAACAUUAUUGUUUUUUAUCUUUUCACCUAUGUCCAUGAAAUACACAAGUAUGAAGUAAUACCAUCUGGAGGAUUGUAAAAAUGUAGUUUGUGAAAGUCCC